rnacentral:rRNA from 1 species
GACUCUCGGCAACGGAUAUCUCGGCUCACGCAUCGAUGAAGAACGUAGCAAAAUGCGAUACUUGGUGUGAAUUGCAGAAUCCCGUGAACCAUCGAGUUUUUGAACGCAAGUUGCGCCCGAAGCCUUUUGGCCGAGGGCACGUCUGCCUGGGCGUCACGCAUCGC